rnacentral:lncRNA from 1 species
CCCACUUCAGAUGUGCUAAGCAUGCUACUAGCUCCGCUCAUACUGGGGACUCUGGAGAGGCAUAGAAAAAGCAGGAAGCAGAGUCCUAGCUGUAAGCUACUGCAGAGACAAGAGACAAGAUGACCAGGCAUGGGAAGUAAACUCAAAGCAUGAAGUUAAUGGGCAACACUGGGCCCCAGCUCUCAGCAAGUGGUCAUUCACACCUUCAAACUCAAGAGCAUCCUCUAGCCACACCUCGAGGACCCUUUAGACUCCCUGGUGCAAUGUGGCUGAUUUACUGUCAGGCAUCCCGAUCGAUCGAUCUUCUUUUCCCCUGAUAAGACUAUAAAGUGCUCGCAAGCAGAGGUCAAAGAGCACAGUUGGAUUCCCCACUGUGCAGCACAGGAGUCCCCACAUAGUCAGCUUUCCAUAAACUCCUCGGGCAUUCAGUUGUCAAUACAGUGGUCCACCCCACUGAGCACCCCUGAUUUUCUGACCUGGCAGAAGACACAGGUUCUCAGGCCUGCACUCAAAACACCCAUGGACCCCUUGGGAUUCCAAGUUCUCAAAAAGAAAACACUAUGCUAGGCGAUCACCUGGAAUCCCAGCACACUAUGGAAGGAAAGCCUCUGGCACCAGUAGCUAGAAAGCAAGAAAGAGACCAUCUACAU